CCUACGGGAGGCAGCAGUGAGGAAUAUUGGUCAAUGGGCGCGAGCCUGAACCAGCCAAGUAGCGUGAAUGAUGACUGCCCUACGGGUUGUAAACUUCUUUUAUAAAGGAAUAAAGUGAGGCACGUGUGCCUUUUUCUAUGUACUUUAUGAAUAAAGAUCGGCUAACACCGGGCCAGCAGCCGCGGUAAUACGGAGGAUCCGAGCGUUAUCCGGAUUUAUGGGGUGUAAAGGGAGCGUAGACGGGUUGUUAAGUCAGUUGUGAAAGUUUGCGGCUCAACCGUAAAAUUGCAAUUGAUACUGGCAGUCUUGAGUACAGUUGAGGUAAGCGGAAUUCGUGGUGUAGCGGUGAAAUGCUUAGAUAUCACGAAGAACUCCGAUUGCGAAGGCAGCUUACUAAACUGCCACUGACAUUGAUGCUCGAAAGGGUGGGUAUCAAACAGGAUUAGAUACCCGAGUAGUC
rnacentral:rRNA from 1 species